rnacentral:rRNA from 1 species
UACAGAGGGGGCAAGCGUUAUUCGGAAUUAUUGGGCGUAAAGGGCGCGUAGGCGGUUUUUUAAGUCGGAUGUGCAAUCCCUGGGCUCAACCCAGGAACUGCAUCCGAGACUGGAAGGCUAGAGUACUGGAGAGGGAGGUGGAAUUCCACGUGUAGCAGUGAAAUGCGUAGAUAUGUGGAGGAACAUCGAUGGCGAAGGCAGCCUCCUGGGAUAACACUGACGCUCAUGCACGAAAGCGUGGGGAGCAAACAGG